rnacentral:misc_RNA from 1 species
UCCGGUUUGGCACCGGCAGUCCCCCCAGAGUCCCCGGCUUAACCCGCUGGCAACUGGGGGCGGGGGUUGCGCUCGUCGCGGGACUUAACCCAACAUCUCACGACACGAGCUGACGACAGCCAUGCAGCACCUGUGCUUAAGCUCCGAAGAGGGGCCGGCGUUUCUGCCGGCUUACUUAAGCAUGUCAAGCCCAGGUAAGGUUCUUCGCGUUGCGUCGAAUUAAACCACAUGCUCCACCGCUUGUGCGGGCCCCCGUCAAUUCCUUUGAGUUUCAGCCUUGCGGCCGUACUCCCCAGGCGGGGCACUUAAUGCGUUAGCGCCGGCACCCGGGGGGUCGCUCCCCCGGGCACCUAGUGCCCAUCGUUUACAGCGUGGACUAC